UACGUAGGGCGCGAGCGUUGUCCGGAAUUAUUGGGCGUAAAGAGCUCGUAGGCGGCUUGUCGCGUCUGCUGUGAAAACGCGGGGCUUAACUCCGCGCUUGCAGUGGGUACGGGCAGGCUUGAGUGUAGUAGGGGAGACUGGAAUUCCUGGUGUAGCGGUGGAAUGCGCAGAUAUCAGGAGGAACACCGAUGGCGAAGGCAGGUCUCUGGGCUGUAACUGACGCUGAGAAGCGAAAGCAUGGGGAGCGAACAGG
rnacentral:rRNA from 1 species